rnacentral:rRNA from 1 species
ACGGGAGGCAGCAGUCGGGAAUAUUGCGCAAUGGAGGAAACUCUGACGCAGUGACGCCGCGUAUAGGAAGAAGGUUUUCGGAUUGUAAACUAUUUUGGACGGGGAAGAAAUUGACAGUACCUGUAGAAUAAGCUCCGGCUAACUACGUGCCAGCAGCCGCGGUAAUACGUAGGGAGCAAGCGUUAUCCGGAUUUAUUGGGUGUGAAGGGUGCGUAGACGGGAAAGCAAGUUAGUUGUGAAAGCCCUCGGCUUAACUGAGGAACUGCAACUAAAACUACUAUUCUUGAGUGCGGGAGAGGAAAGCGGAAUUCCUAGUGUAGCGGUGAAAUGCGUAGAUAUUAGGAGGAACACCAGUGGCGAAGGCGGCUUCCUGGACCGUAACUGACGUUGAGGCACGAAAGUGUGGGGAGCAAACAGGAUUAGAUACCCUGGUA